CCGCGGAACACGCUGGGCGCAUGCAGACGCUGCUCUUUGUCACAGAUACAGCCAACCAUCCCAGGGGGGGACAUCUCUACCUCUGCCGUCCCAGCACCCUCUUCAACCUCCUCCACGCGAGACCCCGAGUUCCACCCCCACAAACAGGCCUCAUUAGACCCCAUCUUGUGAACAGGACACGCACAUACGUGUUGAACGGACGAAUUCCACAUCAGUUAGCUGCCUGUUCGCUGAACGUCUUUCCUGGACUCCAGGAUUGAAGGAAUUAGGACAAUGAAGAGCCACAAAGCAGGAGGAAACCAUCAUGCAGGCUCCACUCAAAGAGAACAAGGCUCAAAGAGAACACCAACUUCCUUGCAUAGGCUUCCUCUAGAAACAAAACUAUUGUGGGACAAUGAGGGAAGUGCUCCCCAUGCGGAGAACCUUUCUAUAGGUCUCCCUGGAGAUGUUCUGGGGCCUGGUACCCAGCGAGGCCGCCUGCAGCCACGUGGCCACUGGCCCUCUCCAUCUUUCACAAGGCAGGAGGGAUGGGAAGUGCUGGCAGGUGUUGGCAUCCUGCAGAUGCUGGUUAUCUUCCAGACCAGCUUCUCAGGUAUUCUCUCUUUCCAUCCUGACAAUGACCCUGUGAAGUGGGAACGGUUACGCUGGUUUACAAAUGAGGACACGAAACCUCGCAAAGCUCCUUUUUCUUCCCUGAGGUCACCUGGCUAGUGAGGGUCGCAGAUGGGGAUUCAACCCAAAGACCAGGUCACAGAAAAGUGCAUCCUUCUUCCUUCUGGACCGACUUGCACGAAAGUUACUUCACCCAGUUGUUGACCUGGCCGAGGAGGGACAGGCGCUGUCAGACCCCAGGAGGAAUGUUAGGUGCCCUCUGGUGCCCAUAUCCCUGUGAAGACCCGGCCAGUUUCCAGGCUGGGGAGUGGACAGGGGGACACAGUGCUCUGUGGGUCAAGGGCACCGUGUGGAGAGAGGAACACGAGAGGGGGAUUGGGGCAACCGUGUUCCUCCCACAAAUGGGCAACUGAGUCACAUCAUAGGAACUCUGUUCCCUGCCAAACAGGUCUCUCUCUCUCUCUCUCUUUUUUCUGUUUCUGUGUAUUUUAAAUGCAUUUAAAUGAAGCGAUUAUUUAACGAUUUUUGUGGGUUUCCUGGUAUUUGUUUUGGGAUUUGUUUUUGUUUUGUUUUGUUUUUUAUUUUGUUUUUUGGUUGACAGUGUUGAAUCAUCGAAAUAUCGUAAAGCAUUUUUCUGGCUCACUAAUUGAUACAGUCCUGCCUAAUUGCCUGCUGCUUCGUUUCUUCUCUGUGAAAAUGACACAGGUUUUCUGGGUUUUUGCUUCCAAAAAACAAACGGUGCUGCUUCACUACCCCGCCCCCAAUCUGUGCCUCCCUUGGGAUGGCGGCACACACCACAGAUUCCGCAGAUCACUGGUCCUGGCAGGGGUGGGAGGAGCUGGGCAGGAUGGGGAAGGGAGGAGCCACAGGGGUGCCAAGAGAGACCCCACAUUCCCGAGGCCCCCUCCCUAGCACCCCUGCCUGCAAACACCUGACAAUCUACCAACAGCCUCAGCAGGUGUAUGCCCUGAGUUACCAAGGAUUUCUGAAGCUGGUGGAAGCUCGGAGGCCCUGUCUGUGGCCAUGGAGACCCCAUAGAGCCCCUGCCUGUAGCCCUAUUUCUCCAGCAAGAGACUGCAGCCUUAACCAGCUGGCCUCGCCCAUCCACAGAACUGUGCUCCACGGGCACCUGCAGCAGGUGAGGCCACGCCUGAUGCUUGCACGUUCACCCUUCCCAGCGUCCUGCAUUUCUGGCCCCUAACUUUGACCUCGUCUCUGGUCCCAUCAGCUCACUUUGGAUCACAGGACUGACCUUGUCUUCCAGCCGCACACAGGGAGCGGGGAGCAGGCUGGUCUCAGCCUCUGUCUGCCUGGAGGGACCCCGAGCCCAUCCAGUCUGGCCCUGCCGCUUCCAGGGUUACCCAGGUCCCAGGAUGGGAAAUCAAAGCCCAGCCGUGCUUGACAACAUUAGGACCUCAAAGCAGAGAAAAACAAACAGAACCUCUCCAAAACCAGAGGCUGGUCCAGAGCCAACAUUAUGAUCCUGGUCUCCUGUAUUACAAAAGGGAAAUACUAAGGCCCUAAUGAGAGGAAAGUGGAGUCCGAGGUCCCAGUGUGAGUCAACAGCAGAGCAGAGACCAGACCCAGGAACCACACUGCUAGGCCGGUGCUAUGAAAAAUCCAGACUCAGGCAAAAGAAAGCUCAACAUCCUGAUGUCCCUCUGUAGACGGGAGACGCCUGUGGAAAGGGAGAGGGUCAGCUGACACACCCUCAACAUCCUGAUGUCGCUCUAUAGACAGGAGACGCCUGUGGAAAUGGAGAGGGUCAGCUGGUAGACCUGGUUUGUCAAGAGUACUUGUGAAAAGGGUCGGGGUCUUGGUUGACUGGAAGGGUCUGAGUCCACCCUGUGAUUUACCUGCUACAAAGUCACUCAACAAAUGUGGCAGCCAAGGGUUCACCCACUAGCUAAUGUGACACAUGUAUGUCACACGUGUGUGUCACACACACACACACACACUUGUACAUUUAGCUUAAUACACUUUUUUUUUAAAGACUUUAUUUUUUCCUUUUUCUCCCCAACACCCCCCAGUACAUAGUUGUAUAUUCUUCGUUGUGGGUCCUUCUAGUUGUGGCAUGUGGGAUGCUGCCCCAGCGUGGUUUGAUGAGCAGUGCCAUGUCCGCGCCCAGGAUUCCAACCAACGAAACACUGGGCCGCCUGCAGCGGAGCGCACGAAUUUAACCACUCGGCCACGGGGCCAGCCCCAGGCUUAAUAAAUUUUGAUGCCAGAGUAAGGGAGAUGUCCGUCCUUCCUGACCAGACCCCAUGCAGUGAGUUGUAUUCACUUUAAGAGGAAAGCUGACAAACUAGAGCAUUCUCCAAGAAAAGCACCCAAGAAGUCAAGCUAACUCAAAAUAACAAUGUGAGGAGCUGUGUUUCAAAGCCCAGGAGAAGCUUAGUUUACAGAAGAGAAGACUCAACGCAUACUGCAUCUGACCCCAAAUUGCUGAAAAAUAAUGUGAAAAGGAGAAUAGAAUCAUUAUGGGUCAUUUUAGGGAGCAAAGCUGGGUCUGAACCCAGACACCAGCAAGUCCACCCGUCAUCCUCCAUCCCCUGAGACCCACUCUGAGAAGGCACCCUCCUUCCAUCACUCUAGUCCCAGAGUUUUCCAAAACUCAGAUCUGACCAGACAGCACCCCUUCGGUGGGUCUGAGAAACUGUCACAGCCAAGGGGAGCCUAAGGCUACACGACAACUAAAUGUAAUAUGGCAUCUCCGAUGGGACCCUGCAACAGAAAAACAACGUUAGGUAAAAACUCAGGGAGCCUGAAUAAAGUAUGGACUUUAGUUAAUAACAGUGUAUCAACAUGGGUGCAUUCAUUGUGGCACCGUAGAGCAGAAAGCACGUGCGAGUCCCCAUUCUGCUCUUAACCAACUACGUAAUUUCGGGCAUUUUUGCUCCACCUC
ensembl:lncRNA